rnacentral:lncRNA from 1 species
GCCUUAUUCUUUAAGACAUUAAUUAUUAUUUAUGUAGUCAAUUCAUCCCUGUCAUAUUACAAGGCAACCUUAAUGUCUCUAUAUUUGUCACUGAUGGAGUUCAACAAGAUCACAGCCAAUUGAUCUUAUGAAAGUUUUUCAUCACAAUUGGUCAGAUCUUGGGUCAAUUUUGUAAACCUAUUCAAGUUAUCAUCCAAAUCAAUAGAAG